rnacentral:miRNA from 1 species
CUAGUGACAGUGAGGAAGGGGGUGACUAGGGACAGAGUGAGGGAGGGGGUGACUAGUGACAGUCACCUCCUCCUUCACUCUGUCACUAGUCACCCCCUCCCU